AGUGAAGUUUUUUUCCCCUGCAUGUACCUUGAAGUUUUUUGCUAUAAUCAAAUUUGAAAAUGAUGAGCACGAUAAGGACACCUGCAAAGAUGGAAGCCAUGAUGCCAACCAUUCUGGCCAUUGAUAUGUUGCCUGUGAAAGGAACACAAAAGUCAUAGUAACAAUUCUGUGUAUAGUCAUGUUAAUAUAGCAAUCACAUUUUAAUAUACCACCUUCAUUUUAAUUGAUUAUAUUUACCAGAUAAGCAGUCCUUAGCAGUGAAUGUGGCUCUUGCAUUGGUCAGAGGGUUGCUGAAUUCACAAACAUGAAUUUGAUCAAGAUUGUCAGACAGAGAUAUCGUUAAAUUUGGUGCAGUUUGCUUGUUUCCACCUGAUCUCCACUUAAACUCUAAUAAAUGAGAAUGUUUGGACUCUGUUGAGCACAUGAGCGUCGCCUGGUAUGUGUCCAUCAUCUCACACCUUAUGUUGGGUGUGGAUACUUUGUCUGAAAACAUAAAGAAGAAGCAUCAGAACCUGGACAAUUUAAAAUUGAAUACUACUAAAUAUCCUGUUCCCUAUUAAGUUGGAGUGUAAUAGGAUUUAUGAUUUAUAAGAUCUCUGCCUUUUUGCAGAUGAUGUGGUCCUGAUGGCUUCAUCUGGCCAGGAUCUUCAGCUCUCACUGGAUCGGUUUGCAGGAGAGUGUGAAGCGAUUGGGAUGAGAAUCAGCACCUCCAAGUCCGAGUCCAUGGUUCUCGCCCGGAAGAGGAUGGAGUGGCUUCUCCGGGUUGGGGAAGAUAUCUUGCCCCAUGUGGAGGACUUCAAAUACCUCGGAGUCUUGUUCACGAAUGAAGGAAGAGUGGAUCGUGAGAUCAACAAGCGUAGCGGUGCAGUGUCUUCAGUAAUGCGGACGCUGUAUCAAUCCGUUGUGGUGAACAAGGAGCUGAGCUGGAAGGCAAAGCUCUCAAUUUACCGGUCGAUCUACGUUCCCAUCCUCACCUAUGGUCAUGAACUUUGGGUUAUGACCGAAAAGACAAAAAUGAGUUUCCUCCGCCGGGCUCUCCCUUAGAGAUAGGGUGAGAAGCUCUGUCAUCCGGGGGGAGCUCAAAGUAAAGCCGCUGCUCCUCCACAUCGAGAGGAGCCAGAUGAGGUGGUCCGGGCAUUAGGAUGCCACCCGAACGCCUUCUUAGGGAGGUGUUUAGGGCACGUCUGACCGGUAGGAGGCCACGGUUAGAACCCAAGACACGUUGGGAAGACUAUGUCUCCAGGCUGGCCUGGGAACGCCUCUGGAUCCCCCGGGAGGAGCUGAACGAAGUGGCUGGAGAGAGGGAAGUCUGGGCUUCUCUGCUUAGGCUGCUGCCCCCGCCACCCGACCUCGGAUAAGCCGAAGAAGAUGGAUGGAUGGAUGGUAAUAGUUUCCGCUGUGUUCAUACGUGGCGUUUUGGAUGGUCAGCAUUGUGGAGUCCCAGUCGAGAGUUACUCUGUUCUCAUAUGGUUGGAACACUAUCUCCA